rnacentral:tRNA from 1 species
GGCUCUGUGGUGAAGUUCAUGGUGAGUUGCAAGCUCAUUGAUGCACGUUAAUUUGUGCCGGAGUCU